UUCCAACCAGGCUCCACCUUCUAACCAGGCUCCACCUUCUAACCAGGCUCCACCUCCUAACGGCGUAUUUAACUGUAAACUCAGCAGUUGACUCCUCCGCCAAGCAGCCUUACGAUGCAGUCUCCCCCUAAAAGCCCCACCUCUGAGUACAUGGGGCUCUGGGGAUCAUCUAUGUGGAAGUACACAAGCAAGCUGUGAAUUAAUCUUGUCAAAACAUUGACCUGAGUCUGAUCAAGCUUCCAAACCUAACUACGCAUUUACAGGAAAUACAUGCAAAAGAGUGGUAUAUUAGCUGCCACCAUCAGCAAAAUCCAGAAAGUGUGGAGACCUGCAUAAGAAUAGCAAUCUUGUUUCUUCAGUUAAAAAAAUGCAAGGAAGAAAGAUGGAGAGGGAAGGCAUAAAUUAAGAAAGACUCAAGAAACUUGUUAAGCUAAUGCAAUACGUGGACCUAACUUGGUUCCUGAUUCAGACAAUCAACUCCAAAUACAACAUUCAUCAAGCAAUUGGAGCUAUUUAUAACAAAAUUUUACUUAACUUUUAAAUUCUCAUGUUUUAAUAAAAAGAAUGCUUUUCUUCUUAUUACUAUA